rnacentral:rRNA from 2 species
UCGAACGAGCUCUCCCAAAUUGAUUUUAUGCUUGCAUAAAUGAUUUUUGGAUUYGGAGCGAGUGGCGAACUGGUGAGUAACACGUGGGUAACCUGCCCCGAAGCGGGGGAUAACAUUUGGAAACAARUGCUAAUACCGCAUAAUUAGUUGGAACCGCAUGGUUCCAACUUGAAAGAUGGCUCUGCUAUCACUUUGGGAUGGACCCGCGCCGUAUUAGUUAGUUGGUGAGAUAAAAGCCCACCAAGACGAUGAUACGUAGCCGACCUGAGAGGGUAAUCGGCCACAUUGGGACUGAGACACGGCCCAGACUCCUACGGGAGGCAGCAGUAGGGAAUCUUCCACAAUGGACGAAAGUCUGAUGGAGCAACGCCGCGUGAGUGAUGAAGGUUUUCGGAUCGUAAAACUCUGUUGUUAAAGAAGAACAAGUGUUAGAGUAACUGUUAACACUUUGACGGUAUUUAACCAGAAAGCCACGGCUAACUACGUGCCAGCAGCCGCGGUAAUACGUAGGUGGCAAGCGUUGUCCGGAUUUAUUGGGCGUAAAGCGAGCGCAGGCGGUUUUGUAAGUCUGCUGUGAAAGCCCUCAGCUCAACUGAGGAAGUGCAGUGGAAACUACAAAACUUGAGUACAGAAGAGGAAAGUGGAACUCCAUGUGUAGCGGUGAAAUGCGUAGAUAUAUGGAAGAACACCAGUGGCGAAGGCGGCUUUCUGGUCUGUUACUGACGCUGAGGCUCGAAAGCAUGGGUAGCGAACAGGAUUAGAUACCCUGGUAGUCCAUGCCGUAAACGAUGAAUACUAG